GAUGAACGCUAGCGACAGGCUUAACACAUGCAAGUCGAGGGGCAGCACAGGUAGCAAUACCGGGUGGCGACCGGCGCACGGGUGAGUAACGCGUAUGCAACUUACCUAUCAGAGGGGGAUAACCCGGCGAAAGUCGGACUAAUACCGCAUGAAGCAGGGGUCCCGCUUGGGGGUAUUUGCUAAAGAUUCAUCGCUGAUAGAUAGGCAUGCGUUCCAUUCGGCAGUUGGCGGGGUAACGGCCCACCAAACCGACGAUGGAUAGGGGUUCUGAGAGUAAGGGCCCCCACAUGGGUACUGAGACACGGACCAAACUCCUACGGGAGGCAGCAGUGAGGAAUAUUGGUCAAUGGCAGAGAGGCUGAACCAGCCAAGUCGCGUGAGGGAUGAAGGUUCUAUGGAUCGUAAACCUCUUUUAUAAGGGAAUAAAGUGCGGGACGUGUCCCGUUUUGUAUGUACCUGAUGAAUAAGGAUCGGCUAACUCCGUG
rnacentral:rRNA from 1 species